rnacentral:rRNA from 1 species
GACGAACGCUGGCGGCGUGCUUAACACAUGCAAGUCGAACGGAAAGGCCCCUUUGGGGGUACUCGAGUGGCGAACGGGUGAGUAACACGUGAGUAACCUGCCCUUGACUUCGGGAUAACUUCAGGAAACUGGGGCUAAUACCGGAUAGGAAUCCUUGCUGCAUGGUGGGGGUUGGAAAGCUUCGGCGGUUUUGGAUGGACUCGCGGCUUAUCAGCUUGUUGGUGGGGUAGUGGCUUACCAAGGCUUUGACGGGUAGCCGGCCUGAGAGGGCGACCGGCCACAUUGGGACUGAGAUACGGCCCAGACUCCUACGGGAGGCAGCAGUGGGGAAUAUUGCACAAUGGGCGGAAGCCUGAUGCAGCAACGCCGCGUGCGGGAUGACGGCCUUCGGGUUGUAAUCCGCUUUCAGCAGGGGCGAAGCUUGUGGUGACGGUACCUGCAGAAGAAGCACCGGCUAACUCCGUG